rnacentral:rRNA from 1 species
CUCAUGGUUUCACGGUAUUGCAAUGAGAACAAUUUAAAACCCUUAGCGAGAAUCAAGUGGAGGACAAGUCUGGUGCCAGCACCCGCGGUAAUUCCAGCUCCACUAGCGUAUAUUAAAGUUGUUGCAGUUAAAAAGCUCGUAGUUGAACCUCUGUCUGGGGCUAGUUUUGGCUUUGGUCAGGCUAGUUCUAGGCAUCCGCCUACAAGACUUAGAGGGCAUUCAGUUGUUCACUAGGAGGAGUAGGCAUUUUACUUUGAAAAAAUUAGAGUGUUUAAGGCAGGCAAUCGCCCGCAUAUAUUAGCAUGGAAUAAUAGAAUAGGACACUUUUCCAUUUCGUUGGUUAUUGGAAUCGUGUAAUGAUUAAUAGGGACAGUUGUGGGCAUUUGUAUUUAAUUGUCAGAGGUGAAAUUCUUGGAUUUAUUAAAGACAAACUAACGCGAAAGCAUUUGCCAAGGAUGUUUUCAUUAAUCAAGAACGAAAGUUAGGGGAUCAAAGACGAUCAGAUACCGUCCUAGUCUUAACUAUAAACUAUUCCGACUCAAUGUUUGACUGGCUUAUAUAACCAGUUGAGCGUUGUAUGAGAAAUCAAAGUCUUUAGGUUCUGGGGGGAGUAUGGUUGCAAAGCUGAAACUUAAAGGAAUUGACGGAAGAGCACAACCAGGAGUGGAUUCUGCGGCUUAAUUUGACUCAACACGGGGAAACUUACCAGGUUAAAACAAUAGUGGGAUUGACAGUUUGAGAGCGCUUUCUUGAUUGGUUGGGUGGUGGUGCAUGGCCGUUCUUAGUUGGUGGAGUGAUUUGUCUGCUUAAUUGCGUUAACGAACGAGACCUUAACCUGCUACUAGACUGGCGAUCAUCAAUCGUUAGCUCUUCUUAGAGGGACUUUGGUUGUUUUAACUCCAAGGAAGUUUGAGGCAAUAGCAGGUCUGUGAUGCCCUUAGAUAUCCUGGGCCGCACGCGUCAUACAAUGACUAGUUCAGAAAGUUUUCUCCUGACCCGAAAGGGGAUGGGUAAUCUUGAUAAUACUAGUCGUGUUAGGGAUCGAUCUUUGCAAUUAUAGAUCUUGAACGAGGAAUUCCUAAUAAGUGCGGUUCAUCAGACCGUACUGAUUACGUCCCUGCUCUUUGUACACACCGCCCGUCGCUUCUACCGAGUGGGUGGUCCGGUGAGAUAAUUGAACUUCGCAGGUAACUGAGAGGAAAGAUUAUCAAACCUAUCCACCU